GCUGAUGCGGUGCCGGCGGCGGGGGUAGUGGGUAGGGGGCGAGUGGUGUUCGGAGUUACGGGGUGGAAAGGGUCAGUAGGCGGUGUGGCAAGGCGUGAGUGAAAGCUCUGGGCUCAACUCAGAGGCUUGUUCCGAAACGGCUGUGGUUGAGGGUGGGAGAGGCGCGUGGAAUUGCAGGUGUAGCGGUGAAAUGCGUAGAUAUCUGCAGGAACACCCGUGGCGAAAGCGGCGCGCUGGACCACAACUGACGCUGAAUGACGAAAGCUAGGGGAGCAAACAGGAUUAGAUACCCGAGUAGUC
rnacentral:rRNA from 1 species